rnacentral:rRNA from 1 species
UACGUAGGGUGCAAGCGUUGUCCGGAAUUAUUGGGCGUAAAGAGCUCGUAGGCGGCUUGUCGCGUCGGCUGUGAAAACCUGAGGCUCAACCUCGGGCUUGCAGCCGAUACGGGCAAGCUAGAAUUCGGUAGGGGAGACUGGAAUUCCUGGUGUAGCGGCGAAAUGCGCAGAUAUCAGAAGGAACACCGGUGGCGAAGGCGGUUCUCUGGGAAUGUUCUGACGCUGAGGAGCGAAAGUGUGGGGAGCGAACAGG